rnacentral:rRNA from 1 species
AUACAUGCAAGUCGUACGCACUGGCCCAACUGAUUGAUGGUGCUUGCACCUGAUUGACGAUGGAUUACCAGUGAGUGGCGGACGGGUGAGUAACACGUAGGUAACCUGCCCCGGAGCGGGGGAUAACAUUUGGAAACAGAUGCUAAUACCGCAUAACAACAAAAGCCACAUGGCUUUUGUUUGAAAGAUGGCUUUGGCUAUCACUCUGGGAUGGACCUGCGGUGCAUUAGCUAGUUGGUAAGGUAACGGCUUACCAAGGCGAUGAUGCAUAGCCGAGUUGAGAGACUGAUCGGCCACAAUGGAACUGAGACACGGUCCAUACUCCUACGGGAGGCAGCAGUAGGGAAUCUUCCACAAUGGGCGCAAGCCUGAUGGAGCAACACCGCGUGAGUGAAGAAGGGUUUCGGCUCGUAAAGCUCUGUUGUUGGAGAAGAACGUGCGUGAGAGUAACUGUUCACGCAGUGACGGUUCCAACCAGAAAGUCACGGCUAACUACGUGCCAGCAGCCGCGGUAAUACGUAGGUGGCAAGCGUUAUCCGGAUUUAUUGGGCGUAAAGCGAGCGCAGGCGGUUGCUUAGGUCUGAUGUGAAAGCCUUCGGCUUAACCGAAGAAGUGCAUCGGAAACCGGGCGACUUGAGUGCAGAAGAGGACAGUGGAACUCCAUGUGUAGCGGUGGAAUGCGUAGAUAUAUGGAAGAACACCAGUGGCGAAGGCGGCUGUCUGGUCUGCAACUGACGCUGAGGCUCGAAAGCAUGGGUAGCGAACAGGAUUAGAUACCCUGGUAGUCCAUGCCGUAAACGAUGAGUGCUAGGUGUUGGAGGGUUUCCGCCCUUCAGUGCCGGAGCUAACGCAUUAAGCACUCCGCCUGGGGAGUACGACCGCAAGGUUGAAACUCAAAGGAAUUGACGGGGGCCCGCACAAGCGGUGGAGCAUGUGGUUUAAUUCGAAGCUACGCGAAGAACCUUACCAGGUCUUGACUCUUGCGCUAACCUUAGAAUAAGGCGUUCCCUUCGGGGACGCAAUGACAGGUGGUGCAUGGUCGUCGUCAGCUCGUGUCGUGAGAUGUUGGGUUAAGUCCCGCAACGAGCGCAACCCUUGUUACUAGUUGCCAGCAUUAAGUUGGGCACUCUAGUGAGACUGCCGGUGACAAACCGGAGGAAGGUGGGGACGACGUCAGAUCAUCAUGCCCCUUAUGACCUGGGCUACACACGUGCUACAAUGGACGGUACAACGAGUCGCAAACUCGCGAGAGUAAGCUAAUCUCUUAAAGCCGUUCUCAGUUCGGACUGUAGGCUGCAACUCGCCUACACGAAGUCGGAAUCGCUAGUAAUCGCGGAUCAGCAUGCCGCGGUGAAUACGUUCCCGGGCCUUGUACACACCGCCCGUCACGACCAUGGGAGUUUGUAACGCCCAAAGUCGGUGGCCUAACCUUUAUGGAGGGAGCCGCCUAA